AAUUUCACCAGAACAAAAAAAAAGCUCUGGUUCAUUCUUCUACACAGAGUUUCUUCUCCACUUCACAGAGAAAAAAAACCCAAGCUCUCCUCUUCUGUUCGUGUGUCAAACAAGAGCAGGCUGGGUUCAAUCGGAACCCUAGACAGCGGCGACGGCUGCGGCGAAGAUGACCGGCGGUGGCGGUUCUGGCAGCGGCUGCUGUGAAGAGACAGCUGAAACCGAUGCAAAUCGAAACCCUAGUUCAGAUUUCUGCAUCUUCAAGUAUCUUCUUCCUUCACCCUUUCUGUUCAUGUAUCGAUCGAGAGCCAACGGCUCUGAUACCAGUUGUUAGGAUCAGAGAACACUCACGAACACAGAACUCACACACACACGCAAUUUUCUGUUGAAGAACACAAAGAAUUUAUAGUGGUUCGGUCGAUUCUCACCUACAUCCACUGUGGUAACUAGGAAUAUUUGUAUUAAGCUUUUGGUACAAAAAUUUACAGAUACAAACAAUCUCUUAUAUAAGAUUGGAUGAAAAAGAAGAUUGUCACAAAACAUGAUCCGUAAAUAAUGGGUUGCUGAGAAGAUUGGAUCAUCUUAACCCCUUAUCUUCUUUUGCUGUUUUGAUAAGAAUGAUUACCUGAUGUCCACUUGCUCUAGUGGAUUCACACUCAACAAUUGAUCAAGUUGUCAAGUGAUUGGCUUCACACAACACUAACCAAAAUAGGUUUAGGCCCAAACGGGUUCUUACUAAAUAAUAAUCAACAAUCAUAAUUUGUAUGCUUGAAAAAUAAUAAGCUAAUCAUGUGAUGUUGUACCACAAAAACAUAUUAAUAAAUUAUAUAGAAAAUUAGAUUCAAUCUAUAUCUAUAUCUAUAUACUAUAUAUAAGCAUUUCCCAUGUACAAUAUUGUAAUUUUACUACGCGUAUAAAUUUCAAAGCAUCAUAUACAAGAAAGAACAAGCCAAUUUAUAGGGGGCAAACUGGCACAUUUCCAAAACUUUUAAGACGUCUCGGGGAUAAUAUAGUGAUUUCAUACUACAUUCAUGUCACUAAUCAAUCUCACCACCGUAUGUCCUUUCAUCUACCUCCUAAAUCUCUAAAGAACCAGAUGAUCGGUCCAUCCCCUUUUCAUGAACCUUCAAUCGCUCGUGCGGUGAAGAUUGUGGAUGAGAGCAAUGCAGACGGUCUGAACAGGUUCUGGUUAUUGGGGUUGGAGGCCGAGUUAUUGGAUUGGACUAGCCGAUUGAUUUUGUAAACGCCGGAUGAGAGAAGAUAUGCACCGUUUGGUAAUACAGGAGGGUCACAUUCAAAGGCAUUUUUGGAGUUUAUAUGGAGACUCUUAUGAAUGCUAUUGUCAAGCCAGAGUAUCUAAAGCAUCAAGACGAACAAGUUAAGCUUCUUGUUGCACUUGUGAGAUACCAAGAAUUGCUGCCCCUGAAGCUCCAUAUGAAAAUGAAGGUAUUUUUUUUUUCCUUUACAUGACUAUAUGUUUGAUAAUAAGUGCUCAAAUUUACACAAUUAUGGUCUUCUUUUUUCUUUAUGGUACUAACUGUGUUUUUUUUUCAUUUGCUUUGAGGACAUCAUUCAUUUGUUUGUAAGUACUUUCUAGGGUUAAAAGAUACUAAAGACCCAUCUUUUGGAAGGAUAGUUAACAUACCAGAGACCGUUGAAAAGUAAAUAUCAUUUGCUGUGACGUUGGAUCUCGAGUGUGAUGAUGUAGUGAAUGAAAUAUUUAAAACUGUUUUCAAUGUUGCCUGGUUAAGUUUUUUUAACUUUAAUAAAGUAUAGAAUGAUAAGUGGGAUAUAUAAUAGACUGAUUUGUUUUGUUUUCAUACACGAGCAUACUGAAAUUGUUACUGUGGUGGUGGAGACAAUAAUGACGUUUUUUUAAGAAAGUGAGGACAUUGGGGAGGACCUUUUACUCAUUUUCUAUCUGUUUUAGGCCGUGAUAAGUAAGUAAGUUAGUGAUAAACUCUUUGACCCUUUUUAAUUACUAAUGACUAAUAUAUGUUUAUUGAUAUAGUUACCAGUUUAUCAUCAAUUGUGUUGAUCAGAAAAAUACUCAACUUCAUUUCUUAGGAUAUAAGUGUUGACGAGAGAUGGUGUGAACGAUGCACCAGCACUCAAGCGAGCAGACAUCGGUAUAGCAGUGGAUGACUCCACAGACGCUGCCAGGAGUGCUGCCGGAGAAAGGUGGAUGAGGCACAGUAUCUUCACGGUGCUAAGGUGCUUCUCUUUCACACUUUUUCUAAACUAUUUUUGAUAUUUUACAUAUUAUAUUCUUUCUCUUGCAUUGUGUUGAUGGGUUCACAUUGCUUUCUCUUAUGCUCUCUCAUGAUGUAAUAGGAGAAAACAAGUAAGUUUUGGUACCAUCAUUCAAUUGAAGGCCAACUUAAUCUGUAGAUUUUAAACAGUAUGGUGUUAAAACAAAUUACCGGAUAAACAAUUAUGCAUAGUUAUUAAAGGCGCUAGGCGCACUCAAGGCGCAUAGGCCUUGCCUGGGGCCUAGGCGCAAAGCCAAAAAAAAGCAAGUGCCUGAGAAAAAUAAAGCGCAUAAGGAAAAAAAUUAAAAAUAUAUUAUGUAUUAGAAAAAGAAUACUAUUCUUUAAAUAAAAUAAACAAAAUCUAUUAUAUAACACUGUAUAUCAUUUAUUUAGUACCAAAAGUUCUAAAAUAUUAGUGAAUUAGUGUAGAAACGUAGUUUUCCUUGGAUAAAAGUACGGAUCUGACUAGAAUCUUGCCGGAAUUUAGAAAAUUUGGCCGGAUACUCUCCGGGAUCUAGGAAUCUCGCCGGAAUGUGCACCUGAACCAUCAUCUGGAGAAUUAAAGCGCAAUUUCCUCGACUUAAGGCAACUGCCUCACCUCGCCUGAAAAAUGGGCGUAGGCGCAAGAGGCGAUGGCUUUUAACAACUAUGCAAUUAUGAAUGUUUUAUAGUUGUUUUUUAUUGAAGCAUUUCUUUAAAUUCGAUUUAGUCGCUUUUUAAAUAGAUAAGCGAUCUAUAUAGCCGUUUAGAUAGUGUGAUCUUAAGUAAUUAAUUAACAGUUGAUUCACUAUGAACCAAACCUUUUUAUGAUUGUUUAUAGUUAUCUCCAAUUUAUUUGGGAGGGAUUUGUUUGAUAGAAAUUAGAUAAGCCUCUGGCCUGCAAUCCUGCAUCACAGGUGGUUUAAAUAAUUUUUCAAUUUACAAAAUUGAAGUGUCAUAAAAUGCCUAAGCAUGUGUAAAGAGCUUUCAGAACAUGAUCAUCCCUGUCAUCACUGUUUCUGAAAUGAAAACUAGGGUUUAAAGGGCGGGUUUUUUCAUAGGUUUGGAAUUCAUAAUCAAACUUAAUCCUUUCUUAGCUGAAAAUUAGAGUCUAAAAGGCUGUGAUUUUUAAAGAUUUUAUAACUUAUUAUAUGUGCAUGAUUUGAACAGAAACAACUGAGAAGAGACAUUACAGAGGCGUAAGUAGGGAUGAGCACGGUACUCGUUCGGGACCAAACUGGUAAUGGUACCGAAAGUACCGGUACCGAAAUACAGGGAAAAUUGGUACCGGUACGAAUAUACCUGGUACCGGUACCCGAUACCAAAUGAUCAUCCCUAGGCGUAAGACAAAGGCCAUGGGGAGUUAUAAUAGUUCGUUUGCAUAUUGAUUCAUGUUUGUUUUUUAUAUAAGUUAAGUACUAGAACACAAAAAAUUGGCAUACUGUUUCCUUUAAACAACUCGAUUUUAGGCAGUGAUAGUGAAAAAAGAGAAAAAAAAUGGUUCAUAAAGUUGAUUUGGUAAUCAUUGGAGUCUCUGUGGGUCUGGUUGUUGGCUAUCUGAUAUAUGAGUGCAUUUUGUGUUUUAUUAUAGAAACAUAUGAUGCCCACUAACUGUGUCUUAAAAAACCUGAUAUGUGUGUAUUCAUUGUUUGCCUUUUCUUCUGUUGUGCACGGCUGUCUGCGGAUGCAGCCAGUGUUCGUGGUUUGGUUGGUGAUGCACUCGCUCAGCUCAUUCAAGAUUUAUCUUCUGUUGAGAAAGUGAUGCGUGUUUAUAGAGAUAAAUGUGCAGGUCCCGAAAGAAUGGGGAUAAAACAAGGUUUGAUCGCGGGGGCUGGGUUUGGAGUAUCGUGUUUCUUACUUUUUGUGUGUAUGCAGCCAGCUUUUACGCCGGAGCUUGGCUUGUUGAGGCGGGAACAACUACAUUCCCUAAAGUUUUCCGGGUAUUCUAUGCUUUGACGAUGGCAGCAAUGGCCUUGGUUGUAGAUAUUGAUUAUGUUGUCAUCCAAAUAUAGAGAAUAGAUGUAUAGAAAGAAUGACAUCCACAGAUAUCUUAGCAUUGAUGGAAGGUUUUCAAAGUGUAUGGUGCUUAGAAACACUCUUUUUUUUGUUUUCUCUUUUGUUUUGCUAAUGGUACCGUAUUUGAUCGAAA